UCCCAGACUCCUACGGGAGGCAGCAGUGGGGAAUAUUGCACAAUGGGGGGAACCCUGAUGCAGCGACGCCGCGUGAAGGAAGAAGUAUUUCGGUAUGUAAACUUCUAUCAGCAGGGAAGAAAAUGACGGUACCUGACUAAGAAGCCCCGGCUAACUACGUGCCAGCAGCCGCGGUAAUACGUAGGGGGCAAGCGUUAUCCGGAUUUACUGGGUGUAAAGGGAGCGUAGGCGGCGAUGCAAGUCAGAAGUGAAAGCCCGGGGCUCAACUCCGGGACUGCUUUUGAAACUGUGUUGCUAGAGUGCAGGAGAGGUAAGUGGAAUUCCUAGUGUAGCGGUGAAAUGCGUAGAUAUUAGGAGGAACACCAGUGGCGAAGGCGGCUUACUGGACUGUAAAUGACGCUGAGGCUCGAAAGCGUGGGGAGCAAACAGGAUUAGAUACCCCCGUAUU
rnacentral:rRNA from 1 species